CCGCGUGAGUGAUGAAGGUUUUCGGAUCGUAAAGCUCUGUUGUUAGGGAAGAACAAGUGCGAGAGUAACUGCUCGCACCUUGACGGUACCUAACCAGAAAGCCACGGCUAACUACGUGCCAGCAGCCGCGGUAAUACGUAGGUGGCAAGCGUUGUCCGGAAUUAUUGGGCGUAAAGGGCUCGCAGGCGGUUUCUUAAGUCUGAUGUGAAAGCCCCCGGCUCAACCGGGGAGGGUCAUUGGAAACUGGGAAACUUGAGUGCAGAAGAGGAGAGUGGAAUUCCACGUGUAGCGGUGAAAUGCGUAGAGAUGUGGAGGAACACCAGUGGCGAAGGCGACUCUCUGGUCUGUAACUGACGCUGAGGAGCGAAAGCGUGGGGAGCGAACAGGAUUAGAUACCCUGGUAGUCCACGCCGUAAACGAUGAGUGCUAAGUGUUAGGGGGUUUCCGCCCCUUAGUGCUGCAGCUAACGCAUUAAGCACUCCGCCUGGGGAGUACGGUCGCAAGACUGAAACUCAAAGGAAUUGACGGGGGCCCGCACAAGCGGUGGAGCAUGUGGUUUAAUUCGAAGCAACGCGAAGAACCUUACCAGGUCUUGACAUCCUCUGACAMCCCUAGAGAUAGGGCUUUCCCUUCGGGGACAGAGUGACAGGUGGUGCAUGGUUGUCGUCAGCUCGUGUCGUGAGAUGUUGGGUUAAGUCCCGCAACGAGCGCAACCCUUGAUCUUAGUUGCCAGCAUUUAGUUGGGCACUCUAAGGUGACUGCCGGUGACAAACCGGAGGAAGGUGGGGAUGACGUCAAAUCAUCAUGCCCCUUAUGACCUGGGCUACACACGUGCUACAAUGGACAGAACAAAGGGCUGCAAGACCGCAAGGUUUAGCCAAUCCCAUAAAUCUGUUCUCAGUUCGGAUCGCAGUCUGCAACUCGACUGCGUGAAGCUGG
rnacentral:rRNA from 1 species